AGAGUUUGAUCAUGGCUCAGGACGAACGCUGACGGUGUGCUUUAGGCAUGCAAGUCGAACGAGAAAGCCCUUCGGGGUGAGUAAAGUGGCGAACGGGUGAGUAACACGUGGGCAACCUGCCCCUCGCAGGGGGACAACCGGAGGAAACUCCGGCUAAUACCCCGUAAGCUCUACACGCCGCAUGGCGAGUAGAGGAAAGGUAGCUUCGGCCAUCCGGCGAGGGAUGGGCCCGCGGUGCAUUAGCUAGUUGGUGGGGUAACGGCCCACCAAGGCGACGAUGCGUAGCUGGUCUGAGAGGAUGAUCAGCCACACUGGGACUGAGACACGGCCCAGACUCCUACGGGAGGCAGCAGCCAGGAAUCUUGGGCAAUGGGCGAAAGCCUGACCCAGCAACACCGUGUGGGUGAUGAAGGCCUUCGGGUCGUAAAGCCCUGUUGAUAGGGACGAAGGGCGAAGGGUUAAUAGCCCGGAGCUUGACGGUACCUUUCGAGGAAGCCCCGGCUAACUACGUGCCAGCAGCCGCGGUAAUACGUAGGGGGCGAGCGUUGUCCGGAAUUAUUGGGCGUAAAGAGCGUGUAGGCGGUUCGGUAAGUCUGUCGUGAAAUCCUGGGGCUCAACCCUGGGCGUGCGAUGGAUACUGCCGGGCUAGAGGGUGGUAGAGGCGAGUGGAAUUCCCGGUGUAGCGGUGAAAUGCGCAGAUAUCGGGAGGAACACCAGUAGCGAAGGCGGCUCGCUGGGCCACACCUGACGCUGAGACGCGAAAGCUAGGGGAGCGAACAGGAUUAGAUACCCCCGUAGUCC
rnacentral:rRNA from 1 species